AACGAACGCUGGCGGCAUGCCUAACACAUGCAAGUCGAACGAGACCUUCGGGUCUAGUGGCGCACGGGUGCGUAACGCGUGGGAACCUGCCCUUAGGUUCGGAAUAACUCCCCGAAAGGGGUGCUAAUACAGGAUAAUGUAAUCGGAGCAAAGAUUUAUCGCCUUUGGAUGGGCGCGGGUUGGAUUAGCUGGUUGGUAGGGUACAAGCCUACCAAUGAGACGAUGCAGAGCUGGUCUGAGAGGAUGAUCAGCCACACUGGGCCUGCGACACGGCCCAGACUCCUACGCGAGGCAGCAGUGGGGAAUAUUGGACAAUGGGCGAAAGCCUGACACAGCAAUGCCGCGUGAGUGAUGAAGGCCUUAGGGUUGUACAGCUCUUUUACCCGGGAUGAUAAUGACAGUACCGGGAGAAUAAGCUCCGGCUAACUCCGUG
rnacentral:rRNA from 1 species